rnacentral:tRNA from 1 species
GCGAAAGUGGUGGAAUUGGCAGACACGCCAGAUUUAGGUUCUGGUGCCACGGCGUAGGGGUUCAAAUCCCCUCUUUCGCA